AGUGACAAGAAAUAACAAUACAGGGCAAAUGUCUUGUAAUUGGAAUGAUGGUGACGUAAAAUCUCACCAGAGUAACAAUUGGAGGGCAAGUCUGGUGCCAGCAGCCGCGGUAAUUCCAGCUCCAAUAGCGUAUAUUAAACUUGUUGCAGUUAAAAAGCUCGUAGUUGAAUUUCUGCGUCUCCUGGUUGGCCUGAAGGCCUUGCGGGUUUCGCAUAGGGGAUUCCCCGUUUUACUUUGAGAAAAUUAGAGUGUUUCAAGCAGACUUGUGUCUUGAAUACUUGAGCAUGGAAUAAUGGAGUAGGACUUUGGUUCUAUUUUGUUGGUUUGAGAGCCUUAGUAAU
rnacentral:rRNA from 1 species